GGGUUGUGAGGUUAAGCGACUAAGCGUACACGGUGGAUGCCCUGGCAGUCAGAGGCGAUGAAGGGCGUGCUAAUCUGCGAUAAGCGCCGGUAAGGUGAUAUGAACCGUUAUAACCGGCGAUACCCGAAUGGGGAAACCCAGUGUGAUUCGUCACACUAUCAUUAACUGAAUCCAUAGGUUAAUGAGGCGAACCGGGGGAACUGAAACAUCUAAGUACCCCGAGGAAAAGAAAUCAACCGAGAUUCCCCCAGUAGCGGCGAGCGAACGGGGAGGAGCCCAGAGCCUGAAUCAGCAUGUGUGUUAGUGGAAGCGUCUGGAAAGGCGCGCGAUACAGGGUGACAGCCCCGUACACAAAAGCGCAUGUGCUGUGAGCUCGAUGAGUAGGGCGGGACACGUGGUAUCCUGUCUGAAUAUGGGGGGACCAUCCUCCAAGGCUAAAUACUCCUGACUGACCGAUAGUGAACCAGUACCGUGAGGGAAAGGCGAAAAGAACCCCGGCGAGGGGAGUGAAAAAGAACCUGAAACCGUGUACGUACAAGCAGUGGGAGCACAGGUUUACCUGUGUGACUGCGUACCUUUUGUAUAAUGGGUCAGCGACUUAUAUUCUGUAGCAAGGUUAACCGUAUAGGGGAGCCGGAGGGAAACCGAGUCUUAAUUGGGCGUUAAGUUGCAGGGUAUAGACCCGAAACCCGGUGAUCUAGCCAUGGGCAGGUUGAAGGUUGGGUAACACUAACUGGAGGACCGAACCGACUAAUGUUGAAAAAUUAGCGGAUGACCUGUGGCUGGGGGUGAAAGGCCAAUCAAACCGGGAGAUAGCUGGUUCUCCCCGAAAGCUAUUUAGGUAGCGCCUCGUGAAUUCAUCUCCGGGGGUAGAGCACUGUUUCGGCUAGGGGGCCAUCCCGGCUUACCAACCCGAUGCAAACUGCGAAUACCGGAGAAUGUUAUCACGGGAGACACACGGCGGGUGCUAACGUCCGUCGUGAAGAGGGAAACAACCCAGACCGCCAGCUAAGGUCCCAAAGUCAUGGUUAAGUGGGAAACGAUGUGGGAAGGCCCAGACAGCCAGGAUGUUGGCUUAGAAGCAGCCAUCAUUUAAAGAAAGCGUAAUAGCUCACUGGUCGAGUCGGCCUGCGCGGAAGAUGUAACGGGGCUAAACCAUGCACCGAAGCUGCGGCAGCGAACGUAUCACCCAAGACAACUUUACGGAGUUGACGAUUGACGGAGCGAAGCGACGUCAAAGCGUUCAUUAAAGUCGAGUUGGCUUAGGGAUACGUUCGUUGGGUAGGGGAGCGUUCUGUAAGCCUGUGAAGGUGUGUCGUGAGGCAUGCUGGAGGUAUCAGAAGUGCGAAUGCUGACAUAAGUAACGAUAAAGCGGGUGAAAAGCCCGCUCGCCGGAAGACCAAGGGUUCCUGUCCAACGUUAAUCGGGGCAGGGUGAGUCGACCCCUAAGGCGAGGCCGAAAGGCGUAGUCGAUGGGAAACGGGUUAAUAUUCCCGUACUUGGUGUUACUGCGAAGGGGGGACGGAGAAGGCUAUGUUGGCCGGGCGACGGUUGUCCCGGUUUAAGCGUGUAGGUGUGUGUUCCAGGUAAAUCCGGUUCACUUUAACACUGAGGCGUGACGACGAGGCACUACGGUGCUGAAGCAACAAAUGCCCUGCUUCCAGGAAAAGCCUCUAAGCAUCAGGUAACAUCAAAUCGUACCCCAAACCGACACAGGUGGUCAGGUAGAGAAUACCAAGGCGCUUGAGAGAACUCGGGUGAAGGAACUAGGCAAAAUGGUGCCGUAACUUCGGGAGAAGGCACGCUGACACGUAGGUGAAGUGAUUUACUCAUGGAGCUGAAGUCAGUCGAAGAUACCAGCUGGCUGCAACUGUUUAUUAAAAACACAGCACUGUGCAAACACGAAAGUGGACGUAUACGGUGUGACGCCUGCCCGGUGCCGGAAGGUUAAUUGAUGGGGUCAGCGCAAGCGAAGCUCCUGAUCGAAGCCCCGGUAAACGGCGGCCGUAACUAUAACGGUCCUAAGGUAGCGAAAUUCCUUGUCGGGUAAGUUCCGACCUGCACGAAUGGCGUAAUGAUGGCCAGGCUGUCUCCACCCGAGACUCAGUGAAAUUGAACUCGCUGUGAAGAUGCAGUGUACCCGCGGCAAGACGGAAAGACCCCGUGAACCUUUACUAUAGCUUGACACUGAACAUUGAGCCUUGAUGUGUAGGAUAGGUGGGAGGCUUUGAAGUGUGGACGCCAGUCUGCAUGGAGCCGACCUUGAAAUACCACCCUUUAAUGUUUGAUGUUCUAACGUGGACCCGUAAUCCGGGUUGCGGACAGUGUCUGGUGGGUAGUUUGACUGGGGCGGUCUCCUCCUAAAGAGUAACGGAGGAGCACGAAGGUUGGCUAAUCCUGGUCGGACAUCAGGAGGUUAGUGCAAUGGCAUAAGCCAGCUUGACUGCGAGCGUGACGGCGCGAGCAGGUGCGAAAGCAGGUCAUAGUGAUCCGGUGGUUCUGAAUGGAAGGGCCAUCGCUCAACGGAUAAAAGGUACUCCGGGGAUAACAGGCUGAUACCGCCCAAGAGUUCAUAUCGACGGCGGUGUUUGGCACCUCGAUGUCGGCUCAUCACAUCCUGGGGCUGAAGUAGGUCCCAAGGGUAUGGCUGUUCGCCAUUUAAAGUGGUACGCGAGCUGGGUUUAGAACGUCGUGAGACAGUUCGGUCCCUAUCUGCCGUGGGCGCUGGAGAACUGAGGGGGGCUGCUCCUAGUACGAGAGGACCGGAGUGGACGCAUCACUGGUGUUCGGGUUGUCAUGCCAAUGGCACUGCCCGGUAGCUAAAUGCGGAAGAGAUAAGUGCUGAAAGCAUCUAAGCACGAAACUUGCCCCGAGAUGAGUUCUCCCUGAGACUUUAGGUCUCCUGAAGGAACGUUGAAGACGACGACGUUGAUAGGCCGGGUGUGUAAGCGCAGCGAUGCGUUGAGCUAACCGGUACUAAUGAACCGUGAGGCUUAACCUUACAACGCCGAAG
rnacentral:rRNA from 1 species